GGGGAUGUGGCUCAGUGGUAGAGUGCAUGCUUUGCAUGUAUGACACCCAGGUUCAAUCCCUGGUGUCUCCA
rnacentral:tRNA from 1 species